AGAAUCAACGCUGGCGGCGUGCCUAACACAUGCAAGUCGAACGAGAAAGGGGAGCAAUCCCUGAGUAAAGUGGCGCACGGGUGAGUAACACGUGACUAACCUACCCUGGAGUGGGGGAUAACUGAGGGAAACCUUAGCUAAUACCGCAUAACACCUACGGGUCAAAGGAGCAAUUCGCUUUGGGAGGGGGUCGCGGCCGAUUAGUUAGUUGGCGGGGUAAUGGCCCACCAAGACAGUGAUCGGUAUCCGGCCUGAGAGGGCGCACGGACACACUGGAACUGAAACACGGUCCAGACUCCUACGGGAGGCAGCAGUGGGGAAUUUUGCGCAAUGGGGGAAACCCUGACGCAGCAACGCCGCGUGGAGGAUGAAGUACUUCGGUACGUAAACUCCUUUCGAUCGGGACGAUAAUGACGGUACCGGAAGAAGAAGCCCGGCUAACUUCGUGCCAGCAGCCGC
rnacentral:rRNA from 1 species